ACUCUGAGACGUGAUACCGAGCCGCUUCAGGCGAAGUCAUUAAUCCUAUGCUGCCUAGAAAAGCCCAGUAGCGAGUUGACAUGGUGCCCGUACCCCAAACCAACACAGGUGGACAGGUAGAGCAUACCAAGGCGAGUGGGAUAACUAUGGUUAAGGAACUCGGCAAAUUUCCUCCGUAACUUCGGGAUAAGGAGGACCCCAGUAGCGUGACGAGACUUGCUCUCCGAGCGUGAAGGGGUGGCACAAAAUUGAGGGAAGCGACUGUUUACCAAAAACACAGCAGCGUGCUAAGCCGUAAGGCGCUGUAUACGCUGUGACUCCUGCCCGGUGCUGGAAGGUUACGGGGAUGGGUUAGUCCUUCGGGACGAAGCUCUGAACCUAAGCCCCAGUAAACGGCGGCCGUAACUAUAACGGUCCUAAGGUAGCGAAAUUCCUUGUCGGGUAAGUUCCGACCUGCACGAAUGGAGUAACGACUUCCCUACUGUCUCAACCAUAGACCCAGCGAAAUUGAAGUACGAGUAAAGAUGCUCGUUAGCUGCAGAAGGACGGAAAGACCCCGUGGACCUUUACUAUAACUUGAUGUUGUGUUUUGUCAUAUGUUGUGUAGGAUAGGUGGGAGACAAGGAAGCAUGGACGCUAGUCUGUGUGGAGUCAUCGUUGAAAUACCACCCUGCAUAUGGUGAGGCUCUAACCUAGACCCGUUAUCCGGGUUGGGGACAGCGUCAGGCGGGUAGUUUAACUGGGGCGGUUGCCUCCUAAAGAGUAACGGAGGCGCCCAAAGGUUCCCUCAGCCUGGUUGGCAAUCAGGCGUCGAGUGCAAUGGCAAAAGGGAGCUUGACUGCGAGACCUACAAGUCGAGCAGGAGCGAAAGCUGGGCAUAGUGAUCCGGCGGUUGCGUGUGGAAGCGCCGUCGCUCAACGGAUAAAAGGUACCCCGGGGAUAACAGGCUAAUCUUGCCCAAGCGUCCAUAGCGACGGCAAGGUUUGGCACCUCGAUGUCGGCUCAUCGCAUCCUGGGGCUGAAGCAGGUCCCAAGGGUUGGGCUGUUCGCCCAUUAAAGCGGUACGCGAGCUGGGUUCAGAACGUCGUGAGACAGUUCGGUCCCUAUCCUCUGUAGCCGUAGGUGAAUUGAGGAAAGCUGUCCCUAGUACGAGAGGACCGGGACGGACGCAGCUCUCGUGUGCCAGUUGUCCUGCCAAGGGCAUGGCUGGUUAGCGACCUGCGGAAAGGAUAACCGCUGAAAGCAUCUAAGCGGGAAGCCUCUUCCAAGAUGAAUUCACCCACAGGGUUAACCUGGUAAGGCCCGU
rnacentral:rRNA from 1 species